UUACGACUACAUAUCAGGCAUAUCAAUAAGCGGAGGAAAAGAAACUAACAAGGAUUCCCUCAGUAACGGCGAGUGAAGCGGGAAGAGCUCAAAUUUGAAAUCUUCAAGGUUCUACCUUGACGAAUUGUAGUUUAAAGAAGUGUUUUCUGUUAGAUGAGUAGCAAAAGUUCCUUGGAAUGGGACAUCAUAGAGGGUGAGAAUCCCGUAUUUGGUUAUUCAUUCUAGCUUUGUGAUACACUUUCAAAGAGUCGGAUUGUUUGGGAAUGCAGUCCAAAAUGGGUGGUAAAUAUCAUCUAAAGCUAAAUAUUGGCGAGAGACCGAUAGCGAACAAGUACCGUGAGGGAAAGAUGAAAAGAACUUUGAAAAGAGAGUUAAACAGUACGUGAAAUUGUCAAAAGGGAAGCGUUUGACACCAGUGUUGUUUUUCCGAAAAUCAAUUACGAAUGGCUUGAUUUUGUGUUGUAUUGACCUUAUCAGCUUUCUUCACUUUUUUCGAGUCUUUCUUAAUGCACUUUUCGGUUAACAAGUCAACAUCAAUUUCUUUUGUUGUAAAAGAGUAUUCGGAAGGUGGCUUUCUUUUCGGAGAAAGUGUUUAUAGCCCUAUACUUCUACAAUCGGAGAGAUUGAGGUCUGCAGCGUAGAUCCUUCGGGGUUAGAUACAUUUGUGCUAAGUUGUAGCUAUUCAUAGACAACUUGUUGACUAUGUUUAGUCAUGCGGCUUACUCGCUUAGUGCUAUUUUACCUACGCUUAGGAUGUUGAGUAGCGACAUACGCAC
rnacentral:rRNA from 1 species